ACAAACCUUCAGGGCAGGGUGAGAUUCCCGACCGGCGGUGAUGAAGUGUACGUUCGCUUCUUAGUCCGCGACCCAGACGUUAAAAAGCAACCAUACGUCUGGCUGACCCGGUGUAACUCCGGGACCGACAGUAUAGUCUGGAUGGGAGAAGGGAGAA
rfam:Aneurinibacillus migulanus strain DSM 2895 super7, whole genome shotgun sequence.